UACAGAGGUGGCAAGCGUUGUUCGGAAUUACUGGGCGUAAAGGGCGCGUAGGCGGCCUUCUAAGUCAGACGUGAAAUCCCCCGGCUUAACCUGGGAACUGCGUCUGAUACUGGAGGGCUUGAGUGCGGGAGAGGGAUGUGGAAUUCCAGGUGUAGCGGUGAAAUGCGUAGAUAUCUGGAGGAACACCCGUGGCGAAGGCGGCCAGCUGGGCCGUCCCUGACGCUGAGGCGCGAAGGCGUGGGGAGCGAACGGG
rnacentral:rRNA from 1 species